CCACAGUAUGUUUGCUCAACAUGUUCGCUCAAGCAUGUUGAUUAGAGGCUGCACUGACUUGCAUUAGACGCGGACCAGCUGACUGUUGUUCAUAAUAAGCUGAUUAAUGUUGCAUUUGAGCAGGCAUUAUUUGAGCUACCAGAGAAGUUUAAAGAAUGCUAAAAGGAAUACACUCUAAACCCGGGGAGAAGGCAUGGAGAGUGCUUGUGGAAAUUGUUCAGUUAGCUGAUGACAUGUUUGAUUUGCAGGGCUUAUGUUGCACGAAGAAACAAGAAACAUGUUUGAUUUGCAGGGUGAUUCUGCACUAAUUAUUCAGUUUGUUGUCUUUCCAAUCCAGAAGAACUAAGUGCUUGAUUUGGAUAAGCCAUGGUGACACCAGCUCCCAGCCAUAGUGAUUUGUAAUUUGACAGAACUUAUCCCUGGUUGCGUAAUGGAGAAAUCAGGGAUGCCUAA